rnacentral:rRNA from 1 species
UACGUAGGUGGCAAGCGUUGUCCGGAUUUAUUGGGUUUAAAGGGUGCGUAGGCGGCCCUGUAAGUCAGUGCUGAAAUAUCCCGGCUUAACCGGGAGGGUGGCAUUGAUACUGCAGGGCUUGAGUACAGAUGAAGUAGGCGGAAUUGACGGUGUAGCGGUGAAAUGCAUAGAUAUCGUCAAGAACACCGAUAGCGAAGGCAGCUUACUAAGCUGUAACUGACACUGAGGCUCGAAAGUGCGGGGAUCAAACAGG